rnacentral:rRNA from 1 species
UACGUAGGGGGCAAGCGUUGUCCGGAUUCAUUGGGUGUAAAGAGCGUGUAGGCGGCCAGGUAGGUCGGUUGUGAAAACUGGAGGCUCAACCUUCAGAGGUCGAUCGAAACCAUCUGGCUAGAGUCCGGGAGAGGAGAGUGGAAUUCCUGGUGUAGCGGUGAAAUGCGCAGAUAUCAGGAAGAACCCCCGUGGCGAAAGCGGCUCUCUGGAACGGUACUGACGCUGAGACGCGAAAGCGUGGGGAGCGAACAGG